GGGGAAUAUUGCACAAUGGGUGAAAGCCUGAUGCAGCAACGCCGCGUGAGUGAUGAAGGCCUUCGGGUUGUAAAGCUCUGUCUUCUGGGACGAUAAUGACGGUACCAGAGGAGGAAGCCACGGCUAACUACGUGCCAGCAGCCGCGGUAAUACGUAGGUGGCAAGCGUUGUCCGGAUUUACUGGGCGUAAAGGAUGCGUAGGCGGAUACUUAAGUCAGAUGUGAAAAUCCCGGGCGUAACUUGGGAACUGCAUUUGAAACUGGGUAUCUAGAGUGCGGGAGAGGAAAGUGGAAUUCCUAGUGUAGCGGUGAAAUGCGUAGAGAUUAGGAAGAACACAAGUGGCGAAGGCGACUUUCUGGACCGUAACUGACGCUGAGGCAUGAAAGCGUGGGGAGCAAAC
rnacentral:rRNA from 1 species